CUUACAAAGCAGCUGAUUAGGAUAUGCCCAGUACAGCAAGGUCAAUAGGUCAAUGUCACUUUGAUCAGUCUCCGCCUUGAAGAGCAUACACACAAAACAUAAAUUUGAAGACAUUCAUUUUUAAACGAACAUAUCAGUUUCAGGACAAAUUGUAGCAACAUUAAACAGUCACAAUGCAUCGAAUUUCACCACUUGUACGCAGUGCUAUUUCUAAGAAAUUCACACCAGCGUUGGCAAGAUGCUAUGCAAAAGAUUUGAAAUUUGGCUCAGAUGCUCGGGCUUUGAUGCUUCAGGGAGUAGAUCUUCUAGCUGAUGCUGUUGCUGUUACCAUGGGACCAAAAGUAGGAAUCUUACUGCUUAAAAAAGA